CUGUAAAAAUAAUGGACGAGACAAGGUCCCCGGUCUAGUGAAGCUUUUAUUUUUAGAGCUCCCCCUGCUGACUGGCUGCAGUAUAGGUCAUAAACCCCGCCUCCUCAAUGAUAACAGAUGGGAUGUGGGUCAAACUGUAAAGCUAAAAUACUCGUCACAUCAUUUUUUUCCAAACCUAAACUCUGCUGUGAUCAUUAGUUAUUAUCACCCUACAUUGUGUUCAAGUGCUCAUUUUUCUGUGAAGUUUGUUUUAAAUAAGUUAUUUGAGGUUGAAAAACAGGAUUUUACGUCAUAUUUGACGAUGAUUGACAGCUGCCGAUCUUGCGUAGCUCUCUCUGUGAAUAGCAAAAGUUACGUAGUGAAGGAAAGCCGAGACGCCAUUGAAUUUUUCCGUUCAGUUUUUUCGUCUUUUUUUGGCAAAAUGAGUUGUUCUGCAGUAAACUGUUCUAACCGACCUGUGGGAGCUAAGGGAUCUUUGCAGUUUUUUCGGUGACCAUGAUGCAGCCAGACUGAAGCAGCACGUUGUGAAGGUGGACGCCAUCAUCUUGUCUUUGCAGUGCUGAUUCUGAAGAGCAUGUCUUCACAUAGGACUCAAAGGAAAUCAAUGCUCAAAGGAAACAGCAGUCCAGACUCUGAUUCCAGCUCCGGUGAGGUUCUGCACACAAAUCUGAUUAUAUGAGAAUAUUUAACAUUAGUUUAAUUUAUCAGGCUGGCCCAUGUGAUGACAGUUUAAAAUAAUCUUCAAUAGAAAGUGGCAGGAACACUUUUGUCUUAAAACAUAAAUUCA